rnacentral:rRNA from 1 species
UAGGCGUACGGGUGAGUAACACGUGGAUCAUCUACCUCUUAGUGGGGAAUAACUCUGGGAAACCGGAGCUAAUACCGCAUAAGCCUGGAAAGGGAAAGCAGCAAUGCGCUGAGAGAGGAGUCCGCGGCCGAUUAGCUAGUUGGCAGGGUAAAAGCCUACCAAGGCAUUGAUCGGUAGCCGGCCUGAGAGGGCACACGGCCACACUGGCACUGAAACACGGGCCAG